CUUAAGUACGUGUACCUGCUGUAAAUAUGGACAGAUAGCAAUGUGUGGGCUUUAGGUGGGUUUGACGAAGUCUCAAAUUACUCAUGAAGAUCCCACAUACAUUG
rfam:Medicago truncatula strain A17 chromosome 4, whole genome shotgun sequence.